rnacentral:misc_RNA from 1 species
CGCGCAGCUCACCAUGGAAAUGUCAACAAGAUGAACCAGAAAAUGAUUGGAAACCUGGGGUAUUAUAACAUCAAGAAUAGUUUCCGAUCUAGGACGACGUGUGUGUAUUUAAGUUUAAAGUUUAAUGCUGUCAUGUAGACCUGAUUUCCCAAAGCAGCACCAUGAUGGCAAACUCUUUGAAGGAUAUGGAUGGGUUACCCAGUAGACUAGAGAACCUGGGAAUACAAGACGGUCAACCCACAUUAGAGUCACAAGACAAUGGAGUAAACAGACCACCCACCCCCGAAUCACCUGGUGGUACAGAGUACAAUGACUUUCGACGCAAGUCUCAAAUUGAUUUAGAAAAUAUACCAGAUGUACAUCAGUUUUAUCCUGAAAUAAAAGGAACUUAUGGCAAAAUGGCAGUGCAAUCUCCAAUCGAUGAAGAUAGACCUGAAUCAGCAUUUACAGACAUCACAGUUGACAUUCAUGAUGAUGACAAUGAGUAUUUGGAGAAGGUAUCUGAGGUUGAUGAAGACAGAGCAAUGAGUGGCAGUAUUGAUCCAAAGGCAGCUCAACAAAAGUUCAGCGACCAUCAGAUUGUUGAGUACAGAGAAGCUGAUGGUGCAACUGGUGGGGAAGGUGAACCAAGACAGUCUUUAGAUGAAAAGGGAAAUGAAGAAGGUGUAUUUUCUACUGCUGUUGAUGAAGAUAUGAUACGUUUGGCUAAAGAAAGGAUGAAAGAGCGAACUGAUGGUUCAGUGUUUGCCACAGAAAGUUGGACUGAAACUGCAAAGGAGGGCAUUACUUUGCAGAAAAUUGUGGAUGCUAGAAGACAAGAACAUUAUGAGAAGGCUCUAAAACUGAUGAACGACAAAGAAUAUGUGCGGGCAAUUCGAACAUUAAACAAAGCAAUCAGCCUAAACCACGGCCAUGUAGACUACUACAUUCAACGAGCGGAAUGUUUCAUCCAGCUUUGCGAUUUCCAGUCAGCCAUCUUGAACUACAAACACGCUUGUGUCCUUGAGCCUGAGAAUAUGGAUUAUUAUUCAAGACUUUCUUUUAUAUAUUAUUUCCAAGGACAGUGUUUGUUUGAUCAGAAGAUGUAUUCUGAAGCCUUGGAGGCAUUCUCCCGGGCAGCUGAGAUGAGCCCCGAGGUGUCUGGUUACCAUACUAGAAGCAUUGCUUGCCUGGCUGCUCUAGAGAGACAUGGAGAGUGCCUGGCAUUGGUCAACAAAAGAUUAGAGGCUGAGCAGGACAAUCCUGACUUGUUUAUUAUGAGAGCAAGAUUGCAUGAGCUGUUCAGAAAUAGAACAUUGUGCUACUAUGAUGUGAAAGAUGCCCUAGCUCUAAACCCUCAACAUCCUGAGGCAAUCAAUUUAAUGAAAAUGCUCGAUGAACGGGCCAAAGAUCACCGUCAACAAGCUUUGCAACUUAGCCUUCUGGGAAAACCAAGGGAAGCUUUACAGAAAAUCUCAGUUGCCAUAGAAACAAACCCUAGUAUUGCUGGGCUGCAUGUCUUAAGAGGAUCUCUACAUAGAAAACUGCAGGACUACAAUGCAGCUAUUGAUGAUUACCUCCUUGCAUUGGACAAGACAGACCAUGAUGAGGAGUCGUCAACCUAUCAGGAAUCUCAGAGACAGUUACUCCUCACAUAUAAUGACUUUGCUGUUGAGUGCUUCACAAAGGGCUUCUAUGAGGAGGCUAUUAUAUUACUUAACAAGGCUAUCAAAGGGGAGAAGAGGGAGAAGGGGCUCUAUGUCAACAGGGGAGAUUGUUUCUUUAAACAAGGGGAGCCCCACUUUUCCCUACAAGACUACCAUCAGGCCUUAGAGAUGGACCCCUCAGACCAGGGGGUCAGGGCCCGCGUUGCUAUUGUACACAAUGAAUUUGGAAUUAUAGAAUAUGCAGACAAGAACUAUCCGGAAGCUGAUUCCAGAUUUACACUAGCCAUCCAGAAUAAUCCCUCAGUGGGCAGAUAUUAUGUGUCUCGGGCCAGGGCCAGGUAUAUGAUGGAGAAUGGCUCAGGUGCAAGGGAUGACAUCCUCCUUGCUUUACAUCUAGACCCCGAUAACAAGGAAAUAUUCGGCAUCAUGUCACGAUUGUACCCUGGUAAGACAACUAGUGAUGUCAUACGUAGCCCAGCUGCUGAGAAGGCUCGUAGACAACUUCAGAACCUCGUCACGACUGCAUCACCCGUGAGAUUAAAGUCAUUGGAUUCCCAGAGUGUUACUUGGAAUCAAGAAGCCAGUGUUGCUGAUUAUAAAGUUUGUUUAAAUGAGGAAGAACUGGUGCUAGAAUUGGUGAAUGAAAAGAGGAAGGUCCAUAAACAAUUAAAAGAAAAAUAUUUAAAUCGUAAAACCCUGAAACACGACGGUGCCAGAGUGACUGCCUUACCACCCGCACGACCUUAUAAGGUGCAAGGAAACCCAGUGACAAAACAGGAAGUUGUAGUUGAUGCUCCGAAGGGAGUUGGAAAAUCUACCGGAUGGAGGACGUUUAGUCUUGGAAUAGGUUUACGGUGAUAAAGUAUUAAUAAUAGGAAAAUAGUGUGAUAGAGCGGUUGUAAUUGUCUUCCAAAUACAAUCCUGAUGUCAUUUGUCGGGUGGAUUGUAAUGCAAAGUCAAGGAAAGUGCAUAUUCUGCAACCAAGCAGUUUUAAAUUGAUUAUUUCAUUUGCCAACAUGAAUUACUGCCAAAUCCAUAAAUUGCAUUUCACAAAAGAAUUUCACCGGAGUUUCAAGAAAUCUUGUGAACUGAAAAUAUUAAGGACAAUAUUUCAUUUGUGCUUGCAUUGUUCAGAAUAUAUGAAAUUAUUGUGUUGAAUCUAGUCUAAUAUGUAUCCAUUUAGUUUCAUAUAUUAUAUAAGAUGCUAUGAAUAAACAAUUGAAGAGAUAUUGAGAAAUAGAAUGUCUAUCAAAAUAACCCAAGUGCAAAUUCAAUUCAAACCCCCUGUUAGUACCUUAAGUAAUGCCUUCAUGAAUGUUUUACUUGCAGAAAUGCAAAAUGAUGUCUUGCAGACAACCAAAAAAGUGUAAAAGAUCCCAAUAGACCCAUUAAUUGGUCAAUCCUGUAUUUCAUUUCUGUUUUAUGUUUUGAGGAAUCAGAUUUGUAUUUGCACAUUCCUCCAUCAAUGUUAUGCUGAGUGUUUAAUAGUGUAUAGUAUAUACCAGUGACCUCCCCAGCAUUAAAGCAAGUGGGCGCAACACCAACCUGAGAUUUUGAUAAUAGGCCUGCACCCACCUGAGAAACCAUUUGCACCCACUUGAAAAUGAGAAAA